rnacentral:rRNA from 1 species
CCUACGGGAGGCUGCAGUGGGGAAUAUUGGACAAUGGGCGAAAGCCUGAUCCAGCCAUGCCGCGUGUGUGAAGAAGGCCUUCGGGUUGUAAAGCACUUUCAGUGGGGAAGAAAGCGUUGGGGCUAAUACCCUCGAGGAAGGACAUCACCCACAGAAGAAGCACCGGCUAACUCCGUGCCAGCAGCCGCGGUAAUACGGAGGGUGCGAGCGUUAAUCGGAAUUACUGGGCGUAAAGCGCGCGUAGGCGGUUCUGAUAAGCCGGUUGUGAAAGCCCCGGGCUCAACCUGGGAACGGCAUCCGGAACGGUCGGGCGAGAGUGCAGGAGAGGAAGGUAGAAUUCCCGGUGUAGCGGUGAAAGGCGUAGAGAUCGGGAGGAAUACCAGUGGCGAAGGCGGCCUUCUGGCCUGAAACUGACGCUGAGGUCCGAAGGCGUGGGUAGCAAACAGGAUUAGAUACCUGGUAGUC